rnacentral:rRNA from 1 species
UGGGGAAUAUUGGACAAUGGGCGAAAGCCUGAUCCAGCCAUGCCGCGUGUGUGAAGAAGGUCUUCGGAUUGUAAAGCACUUUAAGUUGGGAGGAAGGGCAGUAAGCGAAUACCUUGCUGUUUUGACGUUACCGACAGAAUAAGCACCGGCUAACUCUGUGCCAGCAGCCGCGGUAAUACAGAGGGUGCAAGCGUUAAUCGGAAUUACUGGGCGUAAAGCGCGCGUAGGUGGUUCGUUAAGUUGAAUGUGAAAGCCCCGGGCUCAACCUGGGAACUGCAUCCAAAACUGGCGAGCUCGAGUAGGGCAGAGGGUGGUGGAAUUUCCUGUGUAGCGGAGAAAUGCGUAGAUAUAGGAAGGAACACCAGUGGCGAAGGCGACCACCUGGGCUCAUACUGACACUGAGGUGCGAAAGCGUGGGGAGCAAACAGG